CUUCACAGAGAUUUCUGUUUCACAUCACAUGUUUCCUGCUAAUCUGUCUUCCAUUCUUCUGUUUCAAUAAUAUUUUAAAUGUUAAUUUUAAUCAUAAAAUUUUACCACUUUGCCACUGCAAUCAGGGAACUCUACUCUCCAGAAGUUGUAGUUUUCUUAGUUCUCAGAUAAGAAUUCAGUGCAGGAGAAGGUAUCAAAUGUAUCUUGCUGCCCUAGCUGACCCUGAAAAUCAAGCUUUGUGUCUGCCUGGCUCAUGAAUAUCUGUCUUUGUCUACUGAAGAGCAAAGAGGAAAGCAAAGGUCAGUGACCAGGAGCUCAUUAUGAGCCUAAACACCCAGAACUGAACACCUUUGCAUAGUGGAGAAAUA
rnacentral:lncRNA from 1 species